CUGCCUUAAAGCGUGCUCAAUACAUCAGGUAUAUGGAUGAAGUUAAAAGGAAAGAAACUGAAGACUUUAUUACACUGUUUGAAACAGAAUGGACUGAUGAGAUUUCAAGUAUAGCAAGGCAGAGUUCAUCGGAAGCCAAAUACAACAAACAGAACAUGCUGCCUUUGACAAGAGACCUAAUAAAGCUGAAGAUCUCGACACACAAACUUACUCUCCCAUAAGUGAUCCUUCACUAGCCCAAACUCCAAAUUCUUCUGGGGAAAAUGAAAAUGAGUGUAUGGAUGAAGAAUGCUUAGAUCUUGACACACAAUCUUACUCUCCUGUAAGUGAU